GCAUGUGUCGACUAGACCAUCUGUUCUACUUGAUUCAAAACCCCAUAUUGUUAUCGUGAUUCAUAUCAGAUCCUUCUUGUAUUAUUUGGCAAUUGAGUGCCUGUUCUAUCUGUUCUUGCAUGUUCUUCGAUUGCGUGCAGGAAUUACCCUAGUGGUUUGGUUGGUUGUGAUCAACAAGAUCGUGAUCAACCGCUGGAAUUGGUGUAUCGAUCGCUAAGGCACAGCGUCCUUGGACGGUUGUAGUCGGAUCGUGAACGUCGCUCCAGAGAGAUCGAAGUUAUCCAUCUCCACC
rnacentral:lncRNA from 1 species